rnacentral:ncRNA from 2 species
GACAGAGGGUGCAAACGUUGUUCGGAUUUACUGGGCGUAAAGCGCGUGUAGGCGGCUUGGCAAGUCGGAUGUGAAAGCCCACGGCUCAACCGUGGAAGCGCAUCCGAAACUGCUUCGCUCGAGUCUCGGAGAGGAAGGUGGAAUGCUUGGUGUAGAGGUGAAAUUCGUAGAUAUCAAGCAGAACACCUGCGGCGAAGGCGGCCUUCUGGACGAUGACUGACGCUGAGACGCGAAAGCGUGGGGAGCAAACAGG